rnacentral:misc_RNA from 1 species
GGAUGUCGACCCCGUUACCAGUGUCUUUAUUUGAGUUGUUCCAAAAUAAAUAAGAGCAUCUUUUAUUAAUGCUCGGUGUGUUUCAUUAUGCAUGGAUCUGAUAUGAUCAAAACUGUCACUUUCAGUUACAUCAAUAAUUGUUAAGGACAAAUACGCUUUAGUAGAGUUAAUCCAAAAUAAAUAAGAGCAACUUCAUCGAUGAUCAAUAUGUGUCAUGUUUAUACCUUGAGUUGGGCUGUGAACUCAGCUGCUUCAUUAGCAGGUCUAUUCUCAAACUCGAACAAUAAGAUUAGAAAGUUCAAAUCCAAAAAUAGCUAACCUCUGCCCAUGGUUGACACAAAACUUAUUAUUUUU